GGGCGAGUGGCUCAGUGGUUAGAGCACUGCAUUCACAUUGCAGGGGUCAUAGGUUCAAAUCCUAUCUCGCCCA
rnacentral:tRNA from 3 species